GACGAACGCUGGCGGCGUGCUUAACACAUGCAAGUCGAACGGAAAGGCCCCAGCUUGCUGGAGUACUCGAGUGGCGAACGGGUGAGUAACACGUGGGUGAUCUGCCCUGCACUUCGGGAUAAGCCUGGGAAACUGGGGCUAAUACCGGAUAGGACCGCACUCUGGAGUGUGUGGUGGAAAGGUUUUUCUGGUGUGGGAUUGGCUCGCGGCCUAUCAGUUUGUUGGUGGGGUAAUGGCCUACCAAGGCGGCGACGGGUAGCCGGGCUGGGGGGGUGGACGGUCACAAUGGGGCUGGGGUACGGCCCAGACUCCUACGGGGGGCAGCAGUGGGGAAUAUUGCAAAAUGGGGGGGACCCUGAUGCAGCGACGCCGGGGGGGGGGUGAAGGGCUUCGGGUUGUAAACUCGUUUCGCUAGGGACGAAGCUUUUUGUGACGGUACCUGGAGAAGAAGCACCGGCUAACUACGUG
rnacentral:rRNA from 1 species